rnacentral:pre_miRNA from 1 species
AGUGGGAUAGCUGGGUCAAAUGGUAGUUCCAUUCCAAGUUUUCUGAGGAAUCUCCAUACUGUUUUCAGAGUGGUUGCGCCAAUUUGCAGUCCCAUCAGCAAU